rnacentral:rRNA from 1 species
UACGUAGGGUGCAAGCGUUGUCCGGAAUUAUUGGGCGUAAAGAGCUCGUAGGCGGUUUGUCGCGUCUGCUGUGAAAACCCGGGGCUCAACCCCGGGCCUGCAUUCGAUACUGGCAGACUAGAGUUCGGUAGGGGAGUCUGGAAUUCCUGGUGUAGCGGUGAAAUGCGCAGAUAUCAGGAGGAACACCGGUGGCGAAGGCGGGACUCUGGGCCGAUACUGACGCUGAGGAGCGAAAGCGUGGGGAGCGAGCAGG